GCGAGAAAGAGUUUACCACGCUCGAGGGAUACAUUUGGGGGUAGAUAUACGUACGUAUGCACGUACGCGGUAUCAUUGACACUGACUACGCCGCCCAGUAGGCCAUGCCGUACCAUCGAGCUGCCUUGCUUGCAGCUGCACGGGACACUAGGCAAUUCCACGGUCUAGCCGACCGCGAAUGCUACGGAUCUGAGCGCUUCAUUUUCCACGCGGACUGUACUACUAGGUACGCAUUGCUAUCGUCCUCCACGACACAUGACCAACUUGACUUUAACUUUCCAUUUUUACGAAUCUUGUCGUUUGUACUUUCAAAGAAUUAUUGCAGCUUUCAUUUUAUGUAGGUUAUUUUUAUUAUACGUCUGCAUUAGCAAGGUGAGUUCCAUCUACAAUGACAAUUCGUACUGAUUUUAUCAAUACCGUACUAAUUUUUAAACAUCCGUACUGAUUUCGAACAUUUAAAUGUACCUCGGACAUUUAUUAUUUAGGAGGGCUGAAAAAAUGUGUUAUACAUUCAACCCUGGAAGAUUAAUUAAAAAUUUUAGAAAUUUGGAAAAUCAUCAAACUGCACGACUGUCGUAAAUUAUUGCAAUGGAAUUUGAUAGACAACGAGAAAUAAGGGAAGGAUUAGUACUUUGGAUUAAAGAUCUCCGCUCCUAAUAAAUAAUAAGGGAUCGACAAAUGUUCCAAUAGCUGCCGCCAUCUAGCCAUUGCGUCUAAUAUUAUAAAUUAUACGGAAUUUAGUUUCACGAUGUAAACUACAUGCCGCGCAUGCGCCGAUAAUUUAAGUAAAUUUAAAAUCAAGUUUACCGCGGAGUACAAGAAACAUUCUAUGUAUACUAAUUACCGUGUAACCGUACUUCGAUGUUCGAUCCACACCACUAUAUAAGAGUGUUGCGUGG